UGUUCUUUUAUUAUCUAACUAGAAUCAUUCCAAGAACUCUGCAAUAUACUAGCCGCCACCGUCACACCGCCCACCGCCACCGCUUCCUCUUUCUACCUGAUGCUCCCUCUUAUGGGUUCUAUCCAUCAAAUACAUUGUCUCUCCAUCCAUCUACUCUGCCAGAAAAAUGAAAAAACGCACUGUGCAGCAAGCAUGCGGAGUCGCAUUCUCUUGUUGUAUUUUAUUCAUCCUCAUAACCCCAAGAAUUCCCCAGCCUCAGAAGUACCAUGAUUUCGCUGACAAACGCCAAUUCUUUGGCAUUCCUAAUACACUCGAUGUGGUAUCAAAUUUCCCAUUCUUGGUUAUUGGUGUCAUUGGACUUAUGCUUUGCCAACAUAGGAACUACUUUAAGUUCAGGUGCCUCUAUCUUUUUCUUAUCAUAAAUUCCCUUACCUUUACCUUUUUUUAUUGCUGCUGUUAUUGUAUUAUUAAUGUAUGUGCCAAAAGCAUGCAAGGUGAAAUAUGGGGUUGGACUUGCUUUUAUGCUAGUGUGAUUGCAACUGCUUUUGGGUCUUCAUACUAUCAUCUCAACCCUAAUCAUGAUCGUCUUGUGUGGGAUAGGUUACCUAUGGCUACGGCUUUCGCAUCAUUGAUCGCUAUCCUCAUUAUCGAAAGGAUUGAUGCGAAAAAGGGAACGCUUUCGAUUAUACCUUUGAAUAUGGCCGGUAUCAUGAGCGUUGUGUAUUGGAGGUACUAUGAUGACAUCCGGAUAUAUGGUCUGUUCCAAUCUGUGUCAACUAUUGCUAUACCUCUCAUGACUCUUUUGUUGCCUUCGGUAUACACGCAUUCGACUUAUUGGCUCUGGGCAUCAGCAUUUUAUCCUCUAGCUAUGUUGCAAGAGACUGCUGAUAAAGUGAUUUAUGCAUGUACUUUUCAUACUGUGAGUGGUCACACACUUAAGCAUUUGUCUGCUGCAAUGGUUCCUGUCUUAUUAACCAUCAUGCUUGCAAAGAGGAGUGUUCACUCAGAGAAGCUUUUACAUGAAAAGUCUACUUAAACAUGUGCAGCAUUUCCCAAACCAAAGUUGAAGAAGGAGCAUUUGAUCUAUAAUGUACCGGUUGUGAAGUCACUCAGUAAUAUUGUCAUCUUUUUCAAGUGUCUUUUUUCUCUCUCAGGAGAUAAAAAAUAGAGAAGUUAAGCCACUAAGGAUAGGCCAGUGGUAAGGGACUUCAUUAGUUUGUGAGAAAUUAGUGGUUCAGACUUCAAGUUUAUGUGCUUUUAUUGUAAUAAGAAAAACAAGGAUGUGGAUCAUUCCAAGAAAAUUCCAUAGUAGAUAUGAUGUACAUAGCAAUUUGUGAAAAUAAAAUUUGACACUCGGUUUGGG
rnacentral:lncRNA from 1 species